rnacentral:rRNA from 1 species
UGAGGAAUAUUGGUCAAUGGGCGCAAGCCUGAACCAGCCAUCCCGCGUGCAGGAAGACGGCGCUAUGCGUCGUAAACUGCUUUUCCAGGGGGAGAAACUUGCGCACGUGUUGCGCAAUUGACGGUACCCUGGGAAUAAGCAUCGGCUAACUCCGUGCCAGCAGCCGCGGUAAUACGGAGGAUGCGAGCGUUAUCCGGAUUCAUUGGGUUUAAAGGGUGCGUAGGCGGACUAUUAAGUCAGUGGUGAAAUCCUGCAGCUUAACUGCAGAACUGCCAUUGAUACUGAUAGCCUUGAGUUUGGUUAAGGUAGGCGGAAUGUGUAAUGUAGCGGUGAAAUGCUUAGAUAUUACACAGAACACCAAUUGCGUAGGCAGCUUACUGAGCCGACACUGACGCUGAGUCACGAAAGCGUGGGGAGCGAACAG